rnacentral:tRNA from 1 species
GGAUAUAGCUCAGCAGUGCAGCACCUGUCUGGCAAGCACAAGGCCCUGGGUUCGAUUCCCAGUACCA